rnacentral:lncRNA from 1 species
AAGAAACGUGUUUCUACAUUUGCUUUUUUUUAUUUUUUAUUUAUUUUUUAGAAAGAGGGAUCAGUUAGGAUUGAUACCAUGUAAGAUAAUGGAAAUCGUGUCCUUCUCAUUGAUCUGAAUAGAAUAUAUAUACAUCAAUGUGUAACAUUUGAUCAACUAUCUAAUUAUGAUACAACAUAAUUGUAGAAAACUAAUUAUGACUAAUUAUAACAAAAUAUUCUAUUCUAUCAACAAUAUUAUUUAGGUAUUUUAGUUU